GCAGCUCAGUCAGUAGAGCAUGAGAUUCUUAAUCUCAGAGUUGUGGGUUUAAGCCCCAUGUUGGACA
rnacentral:tRNA from 1 species